AAUAAAGUAAGCUAAAAAAGCUAUUGGGUUCAUACCCCAAAAAUGAGUUAUUCCUUUAUUG
rnacentral:tRNA from 1 species